UACGAAGGGGGCUAGCGUUGUUCGGAAUUACUGGGCGUAAAGCGCGCGCAGGCGGUCUUCCAAGUCAGUGGUGAAAGCCCGGAGCUCAACUCCGGAACUGCCAUUGAAACUGUUAGACUUGAGUAUGAGAGAGGUGAGUGGAAUUCCCAAUGUAGAGGUGAAAUUCGUAGAUAUUGGGAAGAACACCGGUGGCGAAGGCGGCUCUCUGGACCGAGACUGACGCUGAGGCGCGAAAGCGUGGGGAGCAAACAGG
rnacentral:rRNA from 1 species